CUGAGUCUCUGUGAGCUGCAGCCCUGCGACCCCAUCUCGACAUCCUGCGUGUUCCAGGACGGGCUGGCCCAGUGCCCCUGCCGGCUGGGAUACCGCCCCGUUGCCGCCAUGGGCCGUGCCUGCGCAGCCUGUGGCAGCGGGUUCUGGCUGCGGGAUGGCGUCUGCACCAGGUGCCCGUUUGGCUUUGGUGGCUUCCAGUGUGAGGAGCCCUUCCUGCUGGCGCUGGUCGGGGUGUCCUGCGCUGGGGGCAUCCUGCUGCUGCU